rnacentral:rRNA from 1 species
AGAGUUUGAUCAUGGCUCAGAGUGAACGCUGGCGGCGUGGAUUAGGCAUGCAAGUCGAGCGAUCUCGCAAGAGAUAGCGGCAAACGGGUGAGGAACACGUAAAUAAUCUUCCCCUUAUCCCGACAUAGCCCUAUGAAAAUAGGGGUAAUAUCAGAUGACACCAUGAUUUCUCAUGAAAUUAUGUUUAAAGACUGGGACCGCAAGGCCAGUCGAUAGGGGAUGAGUUUGCGUAGCAUCAGCUAGUUGGUAGGGUAACGGCCUACCAAGGCUAUGACGCUUAGCUGGUCUGAGAGGAUGGUCAGCCACACUGGGACUGAGACACUGCCCAGACUCCUACGGGAGGCUGCAGUCGAGAAUCUUUAGCAAUGGGCGAAAGCCUGACUAUGCGACGCCGCGUGAGGGAUGAAGGAUUUCGGUUCGUAAACCUCUUUUGGCAGGGAAGAAAAAGUUGCAGUUAAUAGCUGCAAAACUGACGGUACCUGCAGAAUAAGCCACGGCUAACUCCGUGCCAGCAGCCGCGGUAAUACGGAGGUGGCUAGCGUUACUCGGAAUUAUUGGGUGUAAAGGGCAAGUAGGCGUCUUGGUAAGUGGGGGGUGAAAUACUCCGGCUCAAUCGGAGAACUGCCUUCCAAACUGCCAGGCUUGAGUGUGACAGAGGAAAAUGGAAUUCUCGGUGUAAGGGUGAAAUCUGUAGAUAUCGAGAAGAACACCAGCGGCGAAGGCGAUUUUCUGGGUCACUACUGACGCUAAAUUGCGAAAGCUAGGGGAGCAAACAGAAUUAGAUACUCUGGUAGUCCUAGCCGUAAACGAUGAGCACUAG